AUUGAACGCUGGCGGCAGGCUUAACACAUGCAAGUCGAGCGCGUGGCGUACGGGUGAGUAAUGUCUGGGAAACUGCCUGAUGUAGGGGGAUAACUACUGGAAACGGUAGCUAAUACCGCAUACCCUCAGAUUUGCCCAGAUGGGAUUAGCUUGUAUGUGGGGUAAUGGCUCACCUAGGCGACGAUCCCUAGCUGGUCUGCGAGGAUGACCAGCAAAACUGGAACGGAGACACGGUCCAGACGCCGACGGGAGGCAGCAGGGGGGAAUAUUGCACAAUGGGCGCAAGCCUGAGGCAGCCAUGCCGCGUGUGUGAAGAAGGCCUUCGGGUUGUAAAGCACUUUAAGCGAGGAGGCGUUACUCGCAGAAGAAGCACCGGCUAACUCCGUGCCAGCAGCCGCGGUAAUUC
rnacentral:rRNA from 1 species